CCUUAAAAAUUUCAUCCAUUUCAACUAUUAAAAACUUGUGUAUCUGACAGAAUAACCAGACAGUUCACAUAAUGUGCCAUGUAUAUCUCAUUCUAGUGUGCAGGACCAUUUUUUAAUAGUAGAAAAAAAUAAAAAUUUUAAUG
rfam:Gossypium raimondii Chr11_contig_7, whole genome shotgun sequence.